GACGAACGCUGGCGGCGUGCUUAACACAUGCAAGUCGAACGGAAAGGCCCUGCUUUUGUGGGGUGCUCGAGUGGCGAACGGGUGAGUAACACGUGAGUAACCUGCCCUUGACUUUGGGAUAACUUCAGGAAACUGGGGCUAAUACCGGAUAGGAGCUCCUGCUGCAUGGUGGGGGUUGGAAAGUUUCGGCGGUUGGGGAUGGACUCGCGGCGUAUCAGCUUGUUGGUGGGGUAGUGGCUUACCAAGGCUUUGACGGGUAGCCGGCCUGAAAGGGUGACCGGCCACGUUGGGACUGAGAUACGGCACAGACUCCUACGGGAGGCAGCAGUGGGGAAUAUUGCACAAUGGGCGGAAGCCUGAUGCAGCAACGCCGCGUGCGGGAUGACGGCCUUCGGGUUGUAUACCGCUUUCGCCUGUGACGAAGCGUGAGUGACGGUAAUGGGUAAAGAAGCACCGGCUAACUACGUG
rnacentral:rRNA from 1 species